GCAGGUGUGGUUCAAUGGUAGAACACCAGCCUUCCAAGCUGGUGACGUGGGUUCGAUUCCCAUCACCUGCU
rnacentral:tRNA from 2 species